rnacentral:rRNA from 1 species
AGAACGAACGCUGGCGGCAUGCCUAAUACAUGCAAGUCGAACGAACUCUUCGGAGUUAGUGGCGCACGGGUGCGUAGCGCGUGGGAAUCUGCCCCUUGGUUCGGAAUAACAGUUGGAAACGACUGCUAAUACCGGAUGAUGACGAAAGUCCAAAGAUUUAUCGCCAAGGGAUGAGCCCGCGUAGGAUUAGCUAGUUGGUGAGGUAAAGGCUCACCAAGGCAACGAUCCUUAGCUGGUCUGAGAGGAUGAUCAGCCACACUGGGACUGAGACACGGCCCAGACUCCUACGGGAGCAGCAGUAGGGAAUAGUUGGACAA